UACAGAGGUGGCAAGCGUUGUUCGGAAUUACUGGGCGUAAAGGGCGCGUAGGCGGUCUUUUAAGUCUUGUGUGAAAUCCCUCGGCUCAACUGAGGAACUGCACGGGAUACUGGAAGACUUGAGUUCGGGAGAGGGAAGCGGAAUUCCGGGUGUAGCGGUGAAAUGCGUAGAUAUCCGGAGGAACACCGGUGGCGAAGGCGGCUUCCUGGACCGACACUGACGCUGAGGCGCGAAAGCCAGGGGAGCAAACGGG
rnacentral:rRNA from 1 species